UGGGUUAGUGGCGGACGGGUGAGUAACGCGUGGGUAACCUGCCUUACACAGGGGGAUAACACUUAGAAAUAGGUGCUAAAACCGCAUAAGCGCACAGCUUCGCAUGAAGCGGUGUGAAAAACUCCGGUGGUGUAAGAUGGACCCGCGUCUGAUUAGCUUGUUGGCGGGGUAACGGCCCACCAAGGCGACGAUCAGUAGCCGGCCUGAGAGGGCGGACGGCCACAUUGGGACUGAGACACGGCCCAAACUCCUACGGGAGGCAGCAG
rnacentral:rRNA from 1 species